GCCGGAGUGGCGGAACUGGCAGACGCGCUACGUUCAGGGCGUAGUGAGCUUAUGCUCAUAUGGGUUCGACUCCCAUCUUCGGCA
rnacentral:tRNA from 1 species